UUCGCGACGUCCACCUCUUCGCUCUGCUGGUAGAGUUUUCCCACCGCUUCGCUAAUCGCCGGGUGCCAGGUCACGGCACGGUUAACGGCCUCGCUCAGCUGCAGCGUGCCGGGGGCGGCAUUGCCCGCGACAGGCGCCACGCGGCCAUUCAGUGAGGGGAGUUCCUGCGUUUCGCGAAGUUGUCCGGUAUUGAUCGUUGCCGCCGGGUUCGCGCAGAGAGCGGGUACAGAGAUCAGGCAGCACGAGAGCCACCAGUAAGGCAUCUUCAUUCCCAUGUCAUGUCCCUAAUAAAAUAAGUACAGCUUUAUUGUUUAUGCCCGGGCGCUGUGCGCCCGGGU
rnacentral:sRNA from 1 species